AACUAGCGUGAUGAAAACGUCACCUUAGGCGUGGUGGUGGCCGUCUUGGCCACUUGGAUGCCACUUGCCAGUGUUAGGACUCGUCAUAGUUACACUGACUGUGU